GUUUUAAGAGGUGACCAGAGAGCUGAGCAGCAGGAGAAACACGCCGAGAAGGAGAUGAGAAAAAAAAUAUAUAAAUAAAAAGAAAGAAAGAAAGAAAGAAAGAAAGAAAGAAAGAAAGAAAGAAAGAGAUGAGAAUGGCAAGAAGAACGAAACGCACUGAUUUGGCACCGCUGCUGGAGACGAGACAGGGGAAGCUUUGACUGGAGAGAGCUGCUGGACACCAGGACGAGCGUUCCAUGAAGCUGAAGAUCUGUCUUUGGAGGCCAAACCAGGAAGAGGUGAUGUCAUGAUGGCUAUCGCUUACAAUGCUCCAGCCAGCUCCAGAUGUACAGACCCCCCCCUUGUCUCCUGAGGUAUGAUGACCUCAUCCUGGUUCUACAGAGGGAACAUCUGCUUGAUGAUCUGGUUGGCAGGAUGCAGACGUCAUGGAAAUACCUCUGGCAAGAAGAUCCAGCUAAAUACUAAAUAUACUGCUUGAAACUGUGACCUUUACAUUCUUCAGCACUGCAUCAGAUGACUCAGCAUAUCUUCUCACUCCAAUGAUGAUCUAUCACAAGAUGUCCUGUCCAUUGUAAAACACGCUAUCAAAUUAAACCUUUUAUUAGUGA